rnacentral:rRNA from 1 species
GACGAACGCUGGCGGCGCGCCUAACACAUGCAAGUCGAACGAGCGAGAGAGAGCUUGCUUUCUCGAGCGAGUGGCGAACGGGUGAGUAACGCGUGAGGAACCUGCCUCAAAGAGGGGGACAACAGUUGGAAACGACUGCUAAUACCGCAUAAGCCCACGGCUCGGCAUCGAGCAGGGGGAAAAGGAGCAAUCCGCUUUGAGAUGGCCUCGCGUCCGAUUAGCUAGUUGGUGAGGUAACGGCCCACCAAGGCGACGAUCGGUAGCCGGACUGAGAGGUUGAACGGCCACAGUGGGACUGAGACACGGCCCAGACUCCUACGGGAGGCAGCAGUGGGGAAUAUUGCACAAUGGGGGAAACCCUGAUGCAGCGACGCCGCGUGGAGGAAGAAGGUCUUCGGAUUGUAAACUCCUGUUGUUGGGGAAGAUAAUGACGGUACCCAACAAGGAAGUGACGGCUAACUACGUG